CUUAUCUUGUGUUUUCUAUCCACAGACAUAUAUAUGUUAUUGCUUGCCGAGAGACCAUCUCUCUACUAUAUCAAUAGCAGUUAACUAUCCAUGUAAUUUUUUUAAAAACAUGAUGUCUUUGUUGGAGAAUUUAUUGAUAAAUUCAAUGAGCAAAACAUUGCCUGACUAGAAGAAGCAAACCAGGCACCCAUUAAACAGAUCCCGGAUGCUAGAGAAUUAGAGAAGUUACUGGUUCAAACACACCACUACCUUUGCUCCUUUGGACAGAGAAACUACAGUGUCGUGGCCUUGGAGGUCACUUAUGGAUGGUACGUAGACCAUAGAAGGGGGUAAAGCAAAAAUUGCCUGGAAUAUUCCUAUUUCUCUGCAGGAUGUAAUGGGUGGAGAAGUAGGCGGAACAGAUCAUCUUCACACAGCAGGAGAGAGAGAUGAUUGACAGGCACACUGUACACCCAAGCUGCUCACAGAGAAGGCUCCAGUGCAACAUGUUAUGUAA
rnacentral:lncRNA from 1 species